rnacentral:rRNA from 1 species
UACAGAGGGUGCAAGCGUUGUUCGGAAUUAUUGGGCGUAAAGGGCGCGUAGGCGGUGCGGUAAGUCCGCAGUGAAAUCUCUGGGCUCAACUCAGAGUCUGCUGUGGAAACUGCCGUGCUCGAGUGUGGGAGAGGUGAGUGGAAUUCCCGGUGUAGCGGUGAAAUUCGUAGAUAUUCGGAAGAGCACCAGUGGCGAAGGCGACUCACUGGACACGUAUUGACGCUGAGGUGCGAAAGCGUGGGGAGCAAACAGG